AGGACGAACGCUGGCGGCGUGCUUAACACAUGCAAGUCGAGCGGAAAGGCCCUUCGGGGUACUCGAGCGGCGAACGGGUGAGUAACACGUGAGUAAUCUGCCCCUAGCUCUGGGAUAGCUCCGGGAAAACCGGGAUUAAUACCAGAUACAACCACUUUAGACAUCUCUUGUGGUGGAAAGAAUUUCGGCUAGGGAUGAACUCGCGGCCUAUCAGCUUGUUGGUGAGGUAACGGCUCACCGAAGGCGACGACGGGUA
rnacentral:rRNA from 1 species